AAACCGUUAAAAGGGAAGCGAAUGAAACCAGCAAUUUGCCUUGUCGGAUUCAGCGGCUUGCGCUCGAGCAAGUGCUUGUUCGCGAUCUGUUUAGACGCGACUCGCGUAAGUUCCCGAGCGUAGACGGCGCACUUCCGAAAGGCAAGUGUCAGCAUCAGUUGGUCACGGAUUAGAAAGUUGCGACGAAGGUAGACCCUUCGGGGUUGUUGAGCUUCGCAAAGAAAUGACCCGAGGCUCACUGUAGUCCUUUGCAAUGCGCGCCAACGUUGGUUGGCUGGUGCCCUGUCCUGUUGACGCGGUUGUCGAGUGUGGCGGACGGCUUUGCCAGUGCGUCCAACCGCUGCCCGUCAACAAGUCGGAGUGUACACACCACGCGUUGACUAUACGYUGACGGAAAUACGGUUUCAUCCGACCCGUCUUGAAACACGGACCAAGGAGUCUAACGUGUGCGCGAGUCKGUCGGUGCUCGAAACCCGGUGGCGUAAUGAAAGUGAAGGGGACGUUAUCGUUGCUUAGGUGAGAAGCCCGUCCCUAGUGGCCGAGCCGUAUCAUCGACCGACCUGUUCUAUCCUUAGAAAGGUUUGAGUAAGAGCGUAGCUGUUGGGACCCGAAAGAUGGUGAACUAUGCCUGAAUAGGGUGAAGCCAGCGG
rnacentral:rRNA from 1 species